CCUCAAAUCGAAUGAAACGAUAACAAACCCUCCCUUUUAUUAAAUUUUUCGAUGGGAAUUUACGUCGAAUUUAAGAAGGGAGAUAUGAAGUAUGAAGCUAAUAUAAAGAGGGUUCGAUUUACGACGCCAGCUUGCCACAAAUUUUUUUAUCGAUUUCGAAAUCAAUACGACGGAACGAAGUUUUCUUAGGAGGUAUCGACGCUUUGGCGUUGCGGCUGACUAGCACGGUCCGUUACUACUGAUACCGUCGCCCACUGGCCGUCUUGGUUACUGUCGGUCAAUAUUAACUCUUUGACUGGCAAUAUCCGAUGUGCCGAACGAAUCAAUCGCCUGACGCGAGCUAUUUUAUCUUGAAAUCGAGAGACAAGUGUCUGUGAAUUCUAACCGAAAUAAUAUGAACAGUCGAUCGUCAACACUAUCAUUGUGCAAGAUGCGAUCAUUUUACGAAUUCGAAAACUAGAGACUACUUUGCGAAACAUUUUUAGUAAAAGUCUGAUACUGGCUUACGUCUAACAGUGAUUUUUAUUACAAAAUGGGAAACAUUCUAUCGAUAUCAAUUUUUGGUCCUCUUCGAAAUGCAAUAAGCUAUGAUUAAGAGUGAAAUAGUGAAAAUUUAGAAAGAAAUCAACAUACCACAGUAUAAGAAGUUAAAAAAAGAUCAUCUAAUUUUCUACGCAAAGACUAUGAAACGUAUAUUAUUACCCUAGCAACAAUGAAUUUUCUUUGCGUUGUCCAAGUCAUCGAGAACAAGUACUGGAAGCCCUAUUUAACUUCAGUCUCCAGCGGUCUUAAGGUCCUUUUUUCUUAGAUUUUUCAUACCGGUGGAGCUUAACAAAACACCGCUAUGAUAUGUGACCCGCAGUUGAAGAAGGACAGGAAAGGAUGAGAGCUGAAAUUAACGAAGGCACACGUGAACGGUACGAUGACUUUUAUUUUGAAAAACGUUUAUUAUAAUCGAACCCAAACAGAUAAUAACGGUUUCGUCGAUAAGAAAAAUUACUGUUAAAUGCAAGCCAAUAUCAGAGCGUUUAUAUCCACUACAACGAUAUCGAUGGAUUUGUGAAACACUACUCGUUAUCCUGUAAAUUAUUUAUAACCGUCGAUCGUUCGCAAAUACACGGAAUUGCAGUCGCGUUAAUUUUGAUAUGCUCGUUUGUCAGUUUCGUGUUAUUUCGCUGAUUAAGUAGACACGUGUGCAAUUCAGGAUGCAUUUUUAAUAAACGAAGGAUUAUUCGUUACUCUUCGAAUCGUAAUCAAAGUCUCCAUUAAUAGAAAUUUGAUUAUAAUUGUAAGUAGAACAUAACGCGAGUGAAGAAAUAAACAUUGCCAAUUGGCAAAAUAAUUCAGACCACAAAGGAUGAUAUACACGUACAGAGAUCUAUUUAAUGCAAUAUUCGAGUACAUUGAUGCAUUCAGCAGAGAUGGGCAAAAUAGUAUUCGAAUAAAAAAAACGUGGCACUAUGUAUCCGGAGCUUGUACUCGACCAAACAGCUUUCAUUUUUUCAUUUAACGUGAAAUAUAAUAUUAAUUCGGACCAAAAAUUUGUAUUCAACCCAAAUGUUGCUGAUCUUUUAUUCGUCAUCAGAAAUAUUCACCUACGAAUUUCG